AGGAGGCUGGGGAGGAUGUUCAUCCUUCCUUCCUCUCUCCCUGGUAACACCCUGUAAUGCUUCUCUGAUUUUGUUCAUCCCAAAGCACUGUGUGCUCUACCAGUACUGACAUGCAACCAGCUCUGGUGGAAGGCAGCAAGCAGCCAGAGCUCACUAUGCUGCACAACAAGGAAUGAAGGAUAGUCUGGCUGUAAAAAGCCAUCCCCACUGCUAACCCUGGCUCUUACAAUAUAUUAUGAGAGACACUUAAUAUUCAAGGGUAUUAGCUCAGUUUUUAAGGUUGCAUCUGAGACACUUUCACACAGCAUGGAACGCUAAUGAUCUGUCUCUGAAGAGGGCCAAGGCAACUCUGCUGGGAUUUCAACUGGGCUUUCUGCCCGAAACACACACACACAGAGUCCGGCUGAAGUUCUCAGGCAGACUUCCUUUACCAUUAGAAAAGAGGAACAGAGAAGCCAAUUUUCAAGAAAAGAGGGUUGAAUGAGUCAGCGUCUGGCUUGAAAUCAUUACCCAGCCUCCAC